rnacentral:misc_RNA from 1 species
GAUGAAGAACGCAGCGAAAUGCGAUAAGUAAUGCGAAUUGCAGAAUUCAGUGAGUCAUCGAAUCUUUGAACGCACAUUGCGCCCUGUGGUAUUCCGCAGGGCAUGCCUGUUCGAGCGUCAUUUCAACCCUCAAGCCCCGCUUGGUGUUGGGCCCCGCCCGCUGUGGCCGGCCCUAAAGACAGUGGCGGCGCCGCCUGGCCCUCAGCGCAGUACAUCUCUCGCUCCAGGGUCCGGUGGCCGCCUGCCAGAACCCCCCAACUCUGUGGUUGACCUCGGAUCAGGUAGGGAUACCCGCUGAACUUAAGCAUAUCAAUAAGCGGAGGA